rnacentral:rRNA from 1 species
AGUGAACGCUGGCGGUAGGCCUAACACAUGCAAGUCGAACGGCAGCACAGUAAGAGCUUGCUCUUACGGGUGGCGAGUGGCGGACGGGUGAGGAAUACAUCGGAAUCUACUUUUUCGUGGGGGAUAACGUAGGGAAACUUACGCUAAUACCGCAUACGACCUACGGGUGAAAGCAGGGGAUCUUCGGACCUUGCGCGAUUGAAUGAGCCGAUGUCGGAUUAGCUAGUUGGCGGGGUAAAGCCCCACCAAGGCGACGAUCCGUAGCUGGUCUGAGAGGAUGAUCAGCCACACUGGAACUGAGACACGGUCCAGACUCCUACGGGAGGCAGCAGUGGGGAAUAUUGGACAAUGGGCGGAAGCCUGAUCCAGCCAUACCGCGUGGGUGAAGAAGGCCUUAGGGUUGUAAAGCCCUUUUGUUGGGAAAGAAAAGCAGCAGGUUAAUACCCCGCUGUGCUGACGGUACCCAAAGAAUAAGCACCGGCUAACUUCGUG